rnacentral:rRNA from 1 species
UACGGAGGAUGCGAGCGUUAUCCGGAUUUAUUGGGUUUAAAGGGUGCGUAGGCGGCGCUUCAGGUCAGCGGUGAAAUACCGGGGCUCAACCCCGGGGCUGCCGUUGAAACUGGCGGCCUCGAGUGGGCGAGAAGUAUGCGGAAUGCGUGGUGUAGCGGUGAAAUGCAUAGAUAUCACGCAGAACCCCGAUUGCGAAGGCAGCAUGCCGGCUUCCGACUGACGCUGAAGCACGAAAGCGUGGGGAUCGAACAGG